CUUUCGAAUUCCUCCCACAUCUGAAAAACCUUGACCACCUCUCAUCGCCACUGCCGCCUUCGCCGCGCCGGCCACCGCUUUCACCGCACCGCCAUUUGCCAACCUCCAUUUCCCUCUUCCCCGCGAUUCUGCGAUCUGCCACCUCCUUUCGAAUCGACUCGCCAAGAAUCUAAAAAUCAUCAAAACCCGUCGCCCCCAUCGCAAUUCGCCACAACUCCCAUUGCCGCCUUCGACUGUCACAGUCGCGAUUCGAUCUGCCCCUUCCACCUUCUCCGAUGCCAUCGAUCUUCUCCGAUGCCAGCGAUAUUUCCAUCCCCCGGCGAUCUGCCCUCCCGGUGAUUCCACCCACCGGCCGCAGCCUCGAUGAGAUCUGCCCCUUCCACCUUUUUCGAUGCCACCUCCAUUUCCAUCCCCCCGAUGAUCUGCUCUCCCGGCUUCCCCCCUAUCUACAGAAUCCGGCGGUCGCCAAUGCCUCAAGACCACGGCCGGCUAUGGUAAGUUUUUUAUUUAUUUUUUUAUUUUUUUAUAUUUGCUGGUUUAUUUGCUUAUUUAACAAAAAAUAAGCAAAUCAUAUCAUGCUAAUUAAUUUUCGAUUGGUGCAAACUAUGUAAAUAUAUCAACGGAAACUUAAACCCUAGAUUAAUUUUCGAUUUUAUCAAAGGAAACUUAAACCCUAGAUUUUUAUCUAUAAAUUCAUUAGCUUGAAUUAUUAACGCCACAUCGUGUUUUUACAAUUCAUAGUUGUGGUACCCUUCUUCUUUUUCUAUGGUUGUGUGUGCGAUUCACCUUUUUAUUUAUAUUUUCCAGAUUUUUGGUUUAGAUUUUGUUAAUUAACUCUAUCUGAUUGCUUUACUUCCCUGGUUUGGUUUAGAUUUUUCGCUGAAAGUAAGCGAUUGUUUUACUUUCCUGUUUUGUCGUGGCUGAGAUCUCCGAGCACAUCACCAACAAGGUCUCUGUGAAAAUAGGAUUAAAUUCAAGGAAAAUGUACUCCAUUUCAGGAUAUUAAGGCCUUCUUGCCAUGAGACAGAGGAAAGGUACACCUACAUUUAAUAAACCUAUGCACG
rnacentral:lncRNA from 1 species